GAAUGCUGACAUAAGUAACGAUAAAGCGGGUGAAAAGCCCGCUCGCCGGAAGACCAAGGGUUCCUGUCCAACGUUAAUCGGGGCAGGGUGAGUCGACCCCUAAGGCGAGGCCGAAAGGCGUAGUCGAUGGGAAACGGGUUAAUAUUCCCGUACUUGGUGUUACUGCGAAGGGGGGACGGAGAAGGCUAUGUUGGCCGGGCGACGGUUGUCCCGGUUUAAGCGUGUAGGUGUGUGUUCCAGGUAAAUCCGGUUCACUUUAACACUGAGGCGUGACGACGAGGCACUACGGUGCUGAAGCAACAAAUGCCCUGCUUCCAGGAAAAGCCUCUAAGCAUCAGGUAACAUCAAAUCGUACCCCAAACCGACACAGGUGGUCAGGUAGAGAAUACCAAGGCGCUUGAGAGAACUCGGGUGAAGGAACUAGGCAAAAUGGUGCCGUAACUUCGGGAGAAGGCACGCUGACACGUAGGUGAAGUGAUUUACUCAUGGAGCUGAAGUCAGUCGAAGAUACCAGCUGGCUGCAACUGUUUAUUAAAAACACAGCACUGUGCAAACACGAAAGUGGACGUAUACGGUGUGACGCCUGCCCGGUGCCGGAAGGUUAAUUGAUGGGGUCAGCGCAAGCGAAGCUCCUGAUCGAAGCCCCGGUAAACGGCGGCCGUAACUAUAACGGUCCUAAGGUAGCGAAAUUCCUUGUCGGGUAAGUUCCGACCUGCACGAAUGGCGUAAUGAUGGCCAGGCUGUCUCCACCCGAGACUCAGUGAAAUUGAACUCGCUGUGAAGAUGCAGUGUACCCGCGGCAAGACGGAAAGACCCCGUGAACCUUUACUAUAGCUUGACACUGAACAUUGAGCCUUGAUGUGUAGGAUAGGUGGGAGGCUUUGAAGUGUGGACGCCAGUCUGCAUGGAGCCGACCUUGAAAUACCACCCUUUAAUGUUUGAUGUUCUAACGUGGACCCGUUACCCGGGUUGCGGACAGUGUCUGGUGGGUAGUUUGACUGGGGCGGUCUCCUCCUAAAGAGUAACGGAGGAGCACGAAGGUUGGCUAAUCCUGGUCGGACAUCAGGAGGUUAGUGCAAUGGCAUAAGCCAGCUUGACUGCGAGCGUGACGGCGCGAGCAGGUGCGAAAGCAGGUCAUAGUGAUCCGGUGGUUCUGAAUGGAAGGGCCAUCGCUCAACGGAUAAAAGGUACUCCGGGGAUAACAGGCUGAUACCGCCCAAGAGUUCAUAUCGACGGCGGUGUUUGGCACCUCGAUGUCGGCUCAUCACAUCCUGGGGCUGAAGUAGGUCCCAAGGGUAUGGCUGUUCGCCAUUUAAAGUGGUACGCGAGCUGGGUUUAGAACGUCGUGAGACAGUUCGGUCCCUAUCUGCCGUGGGCGCUGGAGAACUGAGGGGGGCUGCUCCUAGUACGAGAGGACCGGAGUGGACGCAUCACUGGUGUUCGGGUUGUCAUGCCAAUGGCACUGCCCGGUAGCUAAAUGCGGAAGAGAUAAGUGCUGAAAGCAUCUAAGCACGAAACUUGCCCCGAGAUGAG
rnacentral:rRNA from 1 species